AAAAUACUCCCUCCGUUCCAAAUUACUUGUCUUGGAUUUGUCUAGAUACAGAGGUAUCUAGAUACAGAGGUAUCUAGCACUAAAAUCCAGAUACAUCUGUAUCUAGACAAAUCCAAGACAAAUAAUUCGGAACGGAGGGAGUACUAG
rfam:Triticum aestivum genome assembly, contig: Triticum_aestivum_CS42_TGACv1_scaffold_306543_4AS